ACUGGAGGGAAAGCCUGGUGCCAGCAGCCCGCGGUAAUUCCAGCUCCAGCAGCGUAUGUUUAUAUUGCUGCGUUUAAAAAGCUCGUAGUUGGACCGUCGGACACGGGAGGGCGGUCGGUGUAAGCGCCGCACUGCUCGGACCGUACCAAGCGCGGUCGGCGUCGGCGACGGCACUUGAUUGCGGUCGUCGUCGGCCCGUCGCAGAUUCACCUUGAAGAAAGUGAACCGCUCAAAGGAGGCGUUCCGCUCGAACGAUACAGCAUGGUAUGAUGAAACAAGCGCUCGAGUUGCUUUGUUGGUUGGAAGGCUCGAACGAAUGAUUAAAUGGGUUGGCAUUUUCCGGGC
rnacentral:rRNA from 1 species